GAGUAACCUUUUAUUAGGAGCUAGCCGUCGAAGGUGGGACAGAUGAUUGGGGUGAAGUCGUAACAAGGUAGCCGUAUCGGAAGGUGCGGCUGGAUCACCUCCUUUCUAAGGA
rnacentral:rRNA from 1 species